rnacentral:rRNA from 1 species
ACGAACGCUGGCGGCGUGCCUAAUACAUGCAAGUCGAGCGGAAUGAUGAAGAAGCUUGCUUCUUCUGAUUUUAGCGGCGGACGGGUGAGUAACACGUGGGCAACCUACCUUGUAGAUUGGGAUAACUCCGGGAAACCGGGGCUAAUACCGAAUAAUCCAUUUUGCUUCAUGGCGAGAUGUUGAAAGACGGUUUCGGCUGUCACUACAAGAUGGGCCCGCGGCGCAUUAGCUAGUUGGUAGGGUAAUGGCCUACCAAGGCGACGAUGCGUAGCCGACCUGAGAGGGUGAUCGGCCACACUGGGACUGAGACACGGCCCAGGCUCCUACGGGAGGCAGCAGUAGGGAAUCUUCCACAAUGGACGAAAGUCUGAUGGAGCAACGCCGCGUGAGUGAAGAAGGUUUUCGGAUCGUAAAACUCUGUUGUAAGGGAAGAACACGUACGAGAGUAACUGCUCGUACCUUGACGGUACCUUAUUAGAAAGCCACGGCUAACUAUGUG